rnacentral:rRNA from 1 species
AUUGAACGCUGGCGGCAUGCUUUACACAUGCAAGUCGAACGGCAGCGCGGGCUUCGGCCUGGCGGCGAGUGGCGAACGGGUGAGUAAUACAUCGGAACGUGCCCAGUAGUGGGGGAUAGCUCGGCGAAAGCCGGAUUAAUACCGCAUACGACCUGAGGGUGAAAGCGGGGGAUCUUCGGACCUCGCGCUAUUGGAGCGGCCGAUGGCAGAUUAGCUAGUUGGUGGGGUAAAGGCCUACCAAGGCGACGAUCUGUAGCUGGUCUGAGAGGACGACCAGCCACACUGGGACUGAGACACGGCCGAGACUCCUACGGGAGGCAGCAGUGGGGAAUUUUGGACAAUGGGCGAAAGCCUGAUCCAGCAAUGCCGCGUGUGUGAUGAAGGCCUUCGGGUUGUAAAGCACUUUUGGCGGGAACGAAAAGGACUGUGCCAAUACCACGGUUCGAUGACGGUACCCGCAGAAUAAGCACCGGCUAACUACGUG